CCGCCCCCACCUGUCCUCCCACCUCUCAUCUUGUGCUAAUGGUUGAUUCUAUGCAGAGGUCAAGGUGGUCUUUAAAAACAUGAGUCAGACCAUAGCAAUGUGUGCUCAGAGCCUGGGGUCUAGGGGCAGGGGGUGCUGGGGGCUGCUCCCAGCGUCCAGCCCCCAGCCUCAGGCUCAGACAUCAUGCCUACCCUGCCCUCUGCCCUCCAUGGCUCCUGCAGGUCAUGCUUCUUGACCAUUCCAUGGCUGGGUGUCACCCACAGCAUGGGCUGUGUCUGCUCCUGUGGCUGAGCUUCAGGCCACUGUUCCCAGCAGCAGUGCCUGGGCAGGUCAGCCUCCAUGGAGAGGGUGGGGCUGGGAGAGGAGCCCAGCCCUUCCCACAGCCCUGCAGCCUGUAGCCAGGGGAGCCUGCCGGAGCUCUGCAGACGCUAGGAGCCAGGGCACGGAAGGAAGGCCCUGCCUGACCUCUGGGCUCUGGGGAGGAGGAGCUGUGCCUUGGAGCCGCAGUGGGACGUGAGGAGCCCAGCCCAAGGCGU
rnacentral:lncRNA from 1 species